UAAUGCAACAAUAUUGCGCUCUCUCUCUCCUCUCUCCUCUCGCUUCUCUCUCUCCCCUCUAUCGUAUGCAUUCGGCGAGGGAGAGUUUGGCCUGCUUAUUGUCGUCAUUCUCGUCUCUCCGUCGAGCUUUCAAACGACGUUGUAACUUUUUAUAGUGCAGCUGGAGAAAGCUUCUUCCUGUCUGCAACAUAUGAACAAUAAGCUGACCCCCCCCGUCUUUUUUCUUUUUGGGUGGUGGGUUUAUUGCGUUUCGCGUUUCUGUCGCAAGCUUCGGUCGCCAGAAUCACCCCUUUCUUCUGCGAGUUGGGGAGAUUCAAAUUUCACUCAUUAUCAGGAAUCGGGUCAUUUCCUUCGUAAAUUUCUUCGCUUUUGUGAUUCGUUUCGGUUGUUUCUGUGACGGGUUCUCUCCGGAUUUUGAUUUUGCCGAGUCGCGUUUGUCUCCUUCCCCUCUUGCGUCUGGCAGUAAUAUUGCGAGAUAGAGGAGAAUCAGAGAGAGAGAGAGAGAGAGAGAGAGAGGCAAUUUGCUUUGUUUUCUCUUUCUCUGACCAUCUUUCUUCUUCGUGUUCGGUGCUGAUAAAAAUCUGUUGGCAUCUUCUGCUUUUCAUGUGCAAUGUGUCUUGAGAUUCUAUCACCAUGUAACGCACUUGUUUCUCCUUCUCUGAAACCCCUCAGAUGGUGAAAUGCCCUUCUCAGACCGAUUCACUCCUCGUCCUCAUUGCUUAAGUCGCCAACACAACAACCCCCACCGAACUAAUAUUACUACGAUAGCUGCUGCUCCUGCAUUCAAUUCUCUUCACUGCGGACAGAGCUUUUUCAAUGAUGGGUGUUCCCUUUUGGCUCCAUAAAUUGGCUUCUUUAUCAUCAGCUGUCACCCUGAGGUCGCCUCAUGGUAAUAAUGCCCUUUUGAGGACCAUCCGUGGUUUGCCCGUGUGGGAGUUGUCUUCAGUUUGCAUCAAUUUGACACUCUGUCUGGUGUUCCUCUUUGUCGUGUCGGUGAGGCAGAUAUCGGUCUGCAUAGGCCGGAUACGGAUUGCCAAGGAUGACUCUAUCGCAGGUUCGAGCCCGAUCAGGCGUAGCUUCGAUGGGGAGAUCUUUGUGGUUAAGAUAGGUAACGGGUUCAAGCUAUCAGUGCUUAGCUGUUUCUAUGUGCUGUUUGUGCAAGUUCUGGUGUUGGGUUUUGAUGGGACUGGUUUGAUCAGAGAAGCCUCAAGUGGAAAGUCUGUGGAUUGGUCUAGUCUCUGCUUGCCUGCGGCUCAUUGUUUAGCUUGGUUCUUACUGAGCUUCUCGGCUUUCCAUUGUAAAUUGAACGUGCCUGAGAAAUUCCCUCUGUUGUUGAGAGUAUGGUGGUUGGUCUCAUUUUUUAUUUGUUUGUUGACUCUGCAUGCUGAUGUGAGAGCAUUCUUGUUAGAGGGCUCUGGGCAUUGGAGUUCACAUGUCGUCGCAAACUUCGCUUGUGCCCCUGCUCUCGCUUUCCUUUGUUACGUUGCAGCAAAGGGUGAUACUGGAGUGCAAACUUGUAGAAACUCUGAUAUUCAGGAGCCAUUGCUUCUUGAGGAAGAAGCUGGGUCUGCAAAAGUUACCCCGUACAGUGAUGCUGGCUUGUUUAGUUUGGCCACUCUUUCUUGGCUGAACCCACUUCUUUCUAUUGGUGCCAAGAGGCCACUUGAGCUUAGGGACAUCCCCCUUCUUGCUCCAAAGGACCGAGCCAAGACCAAUUAUAAGGUGUUAAAAUCAAACUGGGAGAAACUGAAGGCUGAGAAUCCUUCGAAGCAGCCCUCCUUGGCUUGGGCAAUACUCAGGUCAUUUUGGAGAGAAGCAGCAUGUAAUGCCAUUUUUGCUGGCUUGAACACUCUAGUUUCAUACGUCGGUCCAUUCUUGAUAAGCUACUUUGUGGAUUACCUUGUUGGACAGGAGACCUUCCCUCAUGAAGGUUACAUUCUGGCUGGAAUCUUCUUCGGUGCGAAGCUAGUGGAGACUUUAACGACCCGGCAAUGGUAUCUUGGGGUUGAUAUCCUGGGAAUGCAUGUAAGAUCAGCUUUAACAGCAAUGGUGUACAGAAAGGGCCUUCGGCUCUCUAGUGCUGCGAAGCACAGCCAUACCAGUGGGGAAAUCGUUAAUUACAUGGCAGUAGAUGUCCAGAGAGUCGGGGACUUCUCAUGGUAUCUCCAUGACAUAUGGAUGCUUCCAAUGCAAAUUGCUCUUGCCUUAGCUAUUUUAUAUAAGAAUGUUGGAAUUGCUUCUGUUGCUGCUCUGGUUGCCACCAUUGUGUCCAUCAUCGUCACCGUCCCAGUGGCUAAGAUCCAAGAAGAUUAUCAAGAUAAACUCAUGGCUACCAAGGAUGACAGAAUGAGGAAAACAUCAGAAUGUCUUAGGAACAUGAGGAUUCUCAAAUUGCAGGCUUGGGAGGACAGAUAUCGAGAUAAGCUUGAGGAGAUUAGGAAUGUCGAGUUUAAGUGGCUCCGCAAAGCACUCUACUCUCAAGCUUUUAUCACAUUUAUAUUUUGGAGCUCUCCCAUAUUUGUUGGUGCUGUCACUUUUGGAACUUCCAUAUUGAUGUCCCAUCAGCUCACUGCUGGGAGUGUUCUUUCUGCAUUGGCGACACUCAGGAUUCUCCAAGACCCUCUUAGAAAUUUUCCUGACUUGGUGUCAAUGAUGGCUCAGACGAAAGUUUCACUUGACAGGAUUUCUGGGUUCCUCCAGGAGGAAGAAUUGCAGGAGGACGCAACUAUAGUCCUUCCACAAAGUUCCACUAAGAUUGCAGUGGAAAUAAAAGAUGGCGAAUUCUGCUGGGACCCAUCUUCUGCAAGACCAACUCUAUCAGGAAUUCAAUUGAAAGUGGAGUCAGGGAUGCGGGUGGCUGUCUGUGGCAUGGUUGGCUCUGGAAAGUCAAGUUUUCUCUCCUGCAUCCUUGGAGAGAUUCCCAAAGUUGCCGGUGAAGUCAGAAUUUGUGGUUCUGCAGCUUAUGUCUCUCAGUCAGCUUGGAUACAAUCUGGAAAUAUCGAAGAAAACAUUCUCUUCGGUAGCCCUAUGGAUAAAGCGAGAUAUAAAAAUGUGAUCCAUGCUUGUUCACUAAAGAAGGAUUUGGAGCUCUUCUCCCAUGGAGAUCAGACCAUUAUUGGCGACAGAGGCAUAAAUUUGAGCGGUGGGCAGAAGCAGCGAGUACAGCUUGCUCGGGCACUCUAUCAAGAUGCAGACAUUUAUUUACUUGAUGAUCCAUUCAGUGCGGUUGAUGCACAUACAGGAUCAGAGUUGUUUAAGGAAUACGUUUUAACAGCACUAGCUACAAAGACUGUGAUAUUUGUGACCCAUCAAGUUGAAUUCUUGCCUGCUGCAGAUAUGAUACUGGUCCUAAAGGAGGGGCGCAUCAUUCAAGCUGGAAAAUAUGAUGAUCUUCUACAAGCAGGAACUGAUUUUGAAACACUGGUCUCAGCUCACCAUGAAGCAAUUGGAGCAUUAGACAUUCCAAACCACUCAUCAGAAGAUUCAGAUGAGAAUUUGCCUGGCUCUGUCAUACUUGGGAAAAAAUGCAAUGCAGGAGGUAGUGACAUCGACAUUUUGGCAAAAGAAGUGCAUGAGGGUAUAGCAGCUCCUGAACAGAAAGCAAUCAAAGAGAAAAAGAAAGCAAAGCGGUCAAGAAAAAAGCAGCUUGUUCAGGAAGAGGAGAGAGAGCGGGGACGUGUCAGUAUGACAGUUUAUUUCUCAUAUAUGGCUGCUGCAUAUAAAGGCUUACUAAUUCCACUUAUAAUUAUUGCUCAAAUGUUAUUUCAAUUUCUUCAAAUUGGUAGUAAUUGGUGGAUGGCCUGGGCAAAUCCCCAAACAGAAGGAGACCAACCAAAAGUCAGUCCCAUGGCGCUCCUGAUCGUUUAUAUAGCACUUGCUUUUGGGAGUUCUUGGUUUAUAUUUGUGAGGGCUGUUCUUGUGGCUACAUUUGGGCUUGCUGCAGCUCAGAAGCUCUUCUUGAGGAUGCUGACAAGUGUGUUUCAUGCUCCAAUGUCUUUCUUUGACUCUACACCAGCCGGAAGGAUUUUGAAUCGUGUGUCGGUUGAUCAAAGUGUCGUGGAUCUUGACAUUCCCUUUAGACUUGGUGGUUUUGCAUCGACAACCAUACAGCUUAUUGGCAUUGUAUGCGUAAUGGCUAAAGUUACCUGGCAAGUGGUUCUUCUUGUCAUCCCAAUGGCGAUGGCUUGCUUGUGGAUGCAGAAAUACUACAUGGCUUCGUCAAGGGAACUUGUCCGUAUUGUAAGCAUCCAGAAAUCCCCAAUCAUGCAUUUGUUUGGGGAAUCAAUUGCUGGAGCCGCCACAAUAAGAGGUUUCGGGCAAGAAAAGAGAUUUAUGAAGAGGAAUCUUCAUCUUCUCGACUGUUUUGGUCGCCCAUUCUUUUAUAGUAUUGCAGCAAUAGAGUGGCUUUGCCUUCGCAUGGAAUUACUUUCCACUUUUGUGUUCGCUUUUUGCAUGAUUCUACUAAUCAGCUUUCCGCAUGGAAGUAUUGAUCCAAGCAUGGCUGGCCUUGCUGUCACUUACGGUCUCAACUUGAAUGCCCGCCUUUCAAGAUGGAUACUUAGCUUUUGCAAGCUUGAGAACAAAAUAAUAUCCAUUGAAAGAAUAUACCAGUACUGUCAAAUCCCAAGUGAAGCUCCGCCAGUUAUUGAGGACUCUCGCCCUCCAUCUACUUGGCCAGAGUGUGGGAUGAUUGAACUAAUUGAUUUGAAGAUACGUUACAAGGAGAGUCUCCCCUUGGUGCUCCAUGACAUAAACUGCACAUUUCCUGGGGGAAAAAGGAUCGGCAUUGUCGGGCGUACUGGAAGUGGCAAAUCAACCUUAAUUCAGGCCCUGUUUCGCUUGAUUGAGCCAUCUAGUGGGAGAAUUGUUAUAGACAAGAUCGACAUAUCUAAAAUAGGGCUCCAUGACCUUCGAAGUCGGUUGAGUAUCAUACCCCAGGAUCCUACAUUAUUUGAAGGAACUAUAAGGGGCAAUCUCGAUCCCCUUGAGGAGCAUUCAGAUGUUGAAAUUUGGCAGGCCUUGGAUAAAUCUCAGCUUGGGGAGAUAGUGCGUGAGAAAGAGCUAAAGCUUGAUACUCCAGUUCUUGAAAAUGGAGAUAAUUGGAGUGUGGGGCAACGGCAAUUAGUUUCUCUCGGUCGGGCUUUGCUCAAGCAGGCAAGGAUAUUGGUUCUUGAUGAAGCUACUGCUUCAGUCGACACUGCCACUGAUAACCUCAUCCAGGGAAUUCUCCGGACAGAGUUUAAGGAUUGCACGGUGUGCACCAUAGCACAUCGUAUUCCAACAGUUAUUGACAGUGAUCUGGUUUUAGUCCUCAGUGAUGGUCGAGUAGCAGAGUUCGACACUCCUGCGCGACUACUAGAGGACAGAUCAUCUAUGUUUCUAAAGUUGGUAACCGAGUAUUCAUCAAGGUCAAGUGGCAUACCCGAUUUUUAGUUUGUGCGGCAUGCCUGGGAGGCCUUAAAGGGCUCGGAGCACCAAAAAUGUUGAUCCAGACUGACUCACCCGAUUCUUCUCCAUUCGGCACUGCUUCAUUCAGCCUAUAAGAAAAUGGAUACGAGAAGGAUCGAAAUGAGGGAGUUUUCUGGUUCCAACUCAUCACAAGUAGCCAGGAAAGAUCAUACGAAAGUCAUUCUUUGGAGUGCCAGCGUGGGGAAGUUCGUGCAGGCUCAUUUCAAUGGCUACCGGAAUAAGAAGGAUCAGUCAGAGGCGGGGUAAUAAUCUAGGACAGAAUAGGAGGGAGGUAAUGAUUCGGAUUUUUCGCAAUAAAAGUAGAUUGUAAAUUGGUGCAUGUCGUCGUUCCAAUAUCGCAACGAAAUUUUGUAGGGCUGUUAUAGUCAUUGUGAAUACACUUAGGUACAGUACAGGUUUUUUUUUUCGGUCUUUCUGAUCUUUUGCCCUGCUUAAUGUGCUUCGGUAUGGUAACAAGCAGGUCCGCUUUUUUCCUUCCC